UGGAGCAUUAGCAACUGCAGUCAAAACGCACCGUUGCUUCCUCAGCUCUGAUCCGAGCAGCAACUGUCUGAUUCUGUCUGGGGGAGCUAGGAGACGGCACUGGAGGCAAGUUUAAAAAGGACCUAGUGACACCCUGCUGUCACAUCUGGUUUCAGGGACCUACUUAUUAGUAGUCCAUUUAAAAUCACUUUCCUAGUCCCAUCUGUAGUACACGUUCUUGAGAAGUGGCUGGCUGGUGAGGAAGGAGCACGCUGCUGAAGGCCCCAGCUACUGUUAAGACUGGCAAGAAAAUAUUACUGACAUAUUGGACACUGUAGUCCUCCAGACAACAUUAAUCUAUUGGUGAUUCUGAAGUGAAGAUGUGAUUGGUGCUGUACCAGAAACUGGUGACAU